AGAGAUUCCAGGGUGCUGACCCAGCACCAUGUCCAUUCUGAUUGGUUGAUGCCUUUGCCUUUUUGAUAAUACUUCAUUCCUGUAGGUAAUUAACAGAGGAUAAUACUAUCAUUCCUGUAGGUAGUUAACAGAGGCACAAAGCACUCAUCUACAGGGAUCAGAGGAAGAAAUAACUUCAUGAUAUGAGAACGGUGCCUGAUGAAAUCAGUCUGGAAGGGAGGGAGGCAACCUCCAGCCAAACCCAACAGAUCAGGUGAUGUUUUGUUUCUAGGUAUCUACUCAAAACCCCUGUCCCUGUGGGCACAAGGGGGACUCCAGAUUCAAGGCACUUACAAUCCAGAUGCAAGGAUGCCCCUAACCGCUAUUUCAUGUUUCCGUUCGAAUGUCACUGUCUCAACAAGACCUUCCCUAACUACCAGCGGUAAGCUGGUAGACGGUAGACGGUGAAAUUUUCAGGAAAUCUGCAAGCCAGUUAGUAUAUACCAUCAUUAAUUCCCUCCAAGGAGACAAUAGGCAGUGGCUGGAGACACUUUUGGUUAUCACAGCUGAGAGACUGGUACUGCUGGCAUCUUGUGAGCAGAGGCCUGGGAUACUGCUAACCUCUUACAACGUACGUGGCGGCCCCCGUACAAAAGAAUUAUGUGGCUGAAAGGUCAAGGGUACUGAGUCAACUGUGAGGAAGACAGAGGAGACUGUGGACUUGCUUCAGGAUUCCCUGCGCUGAGGAACACAGACACUUCAACUGACCUUUACAGCCCAGUGUGGUAAAUGUUAGCAUUGGGGAAAUAUGAAAGAGGUUAUUAAACCCAGGCUUGGAACAUCAGGGAGGACUUCCUGGAGAAAGUAGCUUCGGUGUUAAGACUUCAGGCAGAGGAAGACUGAAUCGGAGAAGGGUGUAUGGGGGAUAGCUUUUAUUAUGGAGCACUUUCUGUGUUUGGAUCACUAUGCUGAGUAUUUUACUAUCUCAUUUAAUCCCUGAAACGCUUUCCGAGGUUUAUACUAUUGCUAUUUCCGUUUUAUAGCUGGAGCCACUGAAGCCUAGGUAUAUUAAUAACUUGCCUAAAGCCACACAGCUAAGAAAUGUUGAAGCAGGGCUUUGAACCCAGGUCUGUAGAUUCCAAAGCCAGACAGGAAGGGAUUGCUACUUACAGAGGGCAAAAGGGUAGACUGGGAAUUUUUUUUAAACACGCUUAACCCUUGUGUUAUGAGCUGACUUAUGUCCCCCCCAGAAUUCAUAUGUUGAGGUCCCAACCUCCAGUACCUCAGAAUGUGUCUAUAUUUGGAGAGAAGGUCUUUCAAGAGGUGAUUAAGCUAAAAUGUGGCCAUCAGGGUGGGUCCCAAUCCAAUAUGAUGGAUGUCCUUACAAGAAAACGAAAUUUGGACACAGAAAGAGAUAUCAGGGAUGUGCAUACACAGGAAAGACCACGUGAAGACACAGUGAGAAGGCAGCCAUGCGCAAAUGAAGAAGGCGGGCUUCAGAAAAAGCCAAACCUGCUGAGCACCUUGAUCUUGGACUUCUAGCGUGCAGAGCUGUGAGAAAAUGAAUUUCUGUUGUUUAGGACCCCUCAUCUGUGGUAUUUUGUUAUGGCAGCCCUAACAAUCAAACUGUCUGAACCACAGGGAAUGAUCAUUGCCCAGCCAGGCAACAUUUGGCCAAUGUUGCUGACCCGGGAUACUGUGCAACAGAGCACUGGCACCUCAAGGCAUAGAUCAUGGACAUCUUGGCACCUGCCAGUGUGGAUCCAAGACUGCAGGCAGGGACUGCUAAGAAGUUUUUCUGUACUAUGGACCCUAGAACUGAUACCGCUUCUGUAGGAUGUGGGUGCCUUUAGUACCAAUAAAAGUUGAGACAAAUCUCC